ACAUAAAAAAGAAGUUGAGCCGAAUUUAAAUUCUGCAUCAACACCUCAUAAAAUAAUAUUCCAAACAAAACGUUAUUAGUUUGAUACAUGAAUAAUAUUAAGAAAUUACGUGGAAAAUUAUGGCGUUUAUAAUACCAGACAAAGUAUUGGAAAAGAUGAUAUGCGAUUCAUGUCACAAAUAUUUAUCAAUAAAACCUAUUAAAAUAUUUCCUAAUAGACCUAUAAAAUGUGGAAGAUGUUGUCGAUGUAAGAAUCAAUCAGGUGGCGUUGUAUCUCUUUACGGACUCAUAGCAGAAAAAUGUCUAUUUAAAUGCGUUAAUAGGUUCGAUGGAUGCAAAACGUUAUUGACUUAUGAACAAGUUAGAGUCCUUGAAAAAGUAUGCAUUGGUAAACAAUAUAAAUGUCCAAUAUGCCCAGAAUCCAUGGAUAUAGUAACUUACCUUAUGAAAAAACAUUUUAAGGAAAAUCACAAAGGUGCAAUAUUAGAUCACCCUGGUUUUUAUUUGAAACUGGAUCUAUUGCGAAUCUUCUGUUACUUAUCUAUAUCAACAAAACGAAAAAUUAUUUUUCAUAAUUUUGACUAGUAGUCCUUUGAACACCAAAAUUGAAUUGAACGCUUUGUAUUUAGGGGAUCCUUAUGUAGUAAAAAAUAUAAAUCAACAAUUUACUGUGAGUACAGUAGACACUUCUGAGGUAAUAUCAGAACUGCAACCUUGUUUUGCAUAUUCAUCAGCUGAUUAUGAUAAUUUUUCAAUAAAUUUACCAGAUACAUCAAAGACUGUCUUUAUAAAAUUCUCUAUUACUGAUGAUAAUGAAACACUAAUUAAACUACCUAAAAUUAAAAGUGUAGAUACAACCAAUAGUGUAAUAAGUUCUUCAGCAAAUGAAUACACCUUUGUUCCUAUGGUGAAAGAAGGAAGGGUAUGGAAAAUGUUUUUGACAUCUCAAUUUAUUCAUAGAUAUCCAGAUUUCUUAUUAACUCCACUUGCUAAUACCCUUACAAUCAGAAACUCCAAUAGAAUAUAUUUCAUUGAAUGUUCUAACUGUAAAGAGCUUUGUUGGCAAGGCCAAAGUCAAGAAAUUUUUGUGCAGAGGUUUUAUUGUCAUAAAAAAUUUAACCACUCUCUAUAUUACUACUGCUUCCAGUUUUUAAAACACAAAGAGGAAGUAUCUGAAGAUUCUUAGACAAAUGAGUUUCCAAUUGAAAUUAUUCCACAUUUGCGAUUCUUUUGCAAAUGGAAUUGUGGUGAGGUUUUAGGUGCACAAUCUCACUCAAGACACAAAUUUUCAUGUAAGGUAAACCCUUUAUUAGUUUGUCCAGACGUGCUUUGCAAUUUUAAGGGUAUCAUUUCAGAUAUAUUGCACAUGGCCAACCAUCCAAACAGUAUAGUCUAUACAUAUUCCAAUUUUUUAAUUUCUUCUUUAAGUAAUAAAAAUAUCUAUUUAUAUUUAAAUGAGAGGUUUGUAUGGAUUGAAGUUGUAGUUUUGUGGAAGACCACUGUACAUAUGAGAGCACAAAUGGUUUGUCCCCAAUUUGGUAACAGAGAUUGUGAAAAACUGAAACCUGUUAUAUUGUUAUUUGAUGAUAAUAAAAAGUUUGAAAAUUUACUAACAGAUUCUAUUGUAUUUCAUGGAAAUCGUUGGGUAAAAGUGGUGUUGAUCGAAGCUUAAUAAUUAUAACAGUUGAAUGGUACAUGGGCCACAUUCUCUAGAAGGAAACUAUUUUGGAUCUCUUCUGUGCAAAAAUAACUCAAUAUUGAACUAAAAAGCAUCCCAAGGAAUUUUAAUCUCGUUAGUUGGUCUUAUAUCAGUAAUGCUACUGUGAUAUCAAAUUUUUUCAAGCUAUUUACUGACUAAUGGAUAAAGUGAAAAAAUAUCUGAUGCUUUAGGUACUUUCAGACUAACAACAUAAACUGCAAUUUUCAACAUCUCCUUAAGCCUGUUUUCACAUGUUCCCUUCAAUUAUUGUUUGUUUAUACUAUACCUAUUCUAAUUUUUGUUCAAUAAAAAUAAUCAUUUUGUUAACAAAUGUUCUUACGUGAUAUAGAUAAAUGGUGCUCUUUUGAAAAUAUAGUUAAAAUGAGAUUUCAAAUUCAAGACGUAGUACAAAUAUAGAUUAGUUGUUUAGAUUUAAUGUUAACCGUGUUUUGUACCAUAUGAACAAAUUGAAAUUUUGUUAUUUUUCUUACUAUUGUAUAAAAAAAAUAUAAUUAUAUUUAACAGUUUAUAUUGUUUUA